rnacentral:lncRNA from 1 species
AUUCAGUUAUAACAAAACUAUCACAUUGCAUACAAAAUGUGAUCAUAAGCAAAGAAUAAGGCUUUUAAGCAAAAUUUUAGCAUGAAAUGAGUUCUUCAAUUAGUAAGCUCUCUAAUUAAGUUCUCAAACACCCUAACUAACCAAACCAAACCAAACCAAAAUCAUAUGGGAAUAAAGCAAUUUCGAAAAAUUCCCAAAUCUCAUGAACCCUAAUUUCUCAAAGUUCAAAUUCAACUCAAUUUCACCAUAGAAUCAACAACCC